rnacentral:tRNA from 1 species
GGGGGGAUAGCUCAGUGGUAGAGCAUUUGACUGCAGAUCGAGGGUCCCGGUUCAAACCGGGGGCCCCCUU